GAAAAAGGGAAUGAACAAAGUUACAAAUCCGGAAACAUCCGCCACCGGAGCAAAGAAGCGCCGGCGAGAGAAAGAGGAAGAACAGGUUGGUUGUAGUCACGCUGAAAAUGAAGAUGGAGGAAUAUUGUCGGAAGAUCAGUGUCUUCUUUCUCUCCAGGAUGAGCUUAACUUUAGCGACACUUCUGUGGCGCUUCGGAUGAUGCGAUCUCAGUUUCCUCGUAUUGACCAGCAGGCUUCGGUCCCGCCAUUCAUAUUACAGUCGCAAUUGUACAGUAGCGUCAACGAUAGAACCCAAGUGGAUAGAGAACUUGAGUGUUUACGAAGGGAUAAAGUUGUUCGUGUUUUCAAACUCAACACUGGACAAGAUGAUCAUGCAAUAAUCUUUUUGGAUGACUAUCUUAACCAGGUUGAUCGAAUAGUGAAGAGGAUGGAAGAGAAGAAACAGAGUGAUGUUGAGGUUUUCAAGUGGUUCAAAGGGCAUGUCCUUGAUUCAAAACUUGAACCCAGUAUUGGACAUGAUGAGCUAUGUUCGCUGUUGUCAUUGGGCGGAAAGGUCAAGGAUGCGCACAUCACUCUCUUGAUUAACGCAGGCCUUCUCACACGCCAACUAAUCGAUCCAGACAUGUACUGGUUUGCCGUUCCGAGUAUUGGUAAACUGUGGAAGGGUCUGUUGCAGGGAAGGAACGAGCUCCUCUCAUUGCUGAAGCGCAGGCGACAUAAAGAGAUGUUCUUGGCCGACCUUGAAAAGAGACGACUCCGGUUCUCUCCUCUGGAUAUGAGAUUUCACAUACGAGAUCUCAUUGGCUCUGGUCACUUGAAAACUUUUCAAACAACUUCUGGUUUAGUUGUUCGGGUUUCAAGGGACUAAACCAAAUUGCCGUCGCAGGUUUCUCAUCAGACAGGCAAUCUCAGACUCAGUUUAUUACUUUCGUAAGAAGAAAUUACUAAUUAUCCAAAGUCUGCUUAUGAGUUACUACAAGUUGCGUGAAGCGAUCAUCUCUGCUUUCAUUCUGUUGAUGAACUCUUGGGCUCUCUCGUCUAUUCCUCUCUCUGUAAGCAAUUCUUCCUCCGGCUCCCACUGUUUUGCUGGUAUCCAAUUGGCUUUUCUAAAGAGCUUAUCGACGUAUACAACAGCUUUGCGUUUCUUCUUGAACAAGCAACCUCUCUUUAGACGGAUGAGAAAAACACUGGAAUUUCUGCGAAUUGAUGCACCGUACCGGGUUUGGGGUUUGGUUUUGGAUCUCCGGAGUUUGUGGAAUUUGGCGGUUAAGCUCUUCCAGGCUCUUUUGGCUGGGAAAAGCUUAAUUCUCAGGCAAGACAUGACGCAAUCUUCUCAAGAUGAUUUUGGGAUUUGUGAGAGAGAGAGAGAGAGGCAAGCUCAAAAACUAAGUGGAUACAUAGAUAAUAAAGUAGAAAGGAGAUUAGUGAGGGUUGAUUAUAUGCAUAUACAAGUUGUCUGCAGCUUAGUUCGGACGCAAUCAAGACAAAAGUAGCC